GAUAAGAACGUAGCGAAAUGCGAUAAGUAAUGCGAAUUGCAGAAUUUCCGUGAGUCAUCGAAUCUUUGAACGCACAUUGCGCCCACUGGUAUUCCGGUGGGCAUGCCUGUUCGAGCGUCAUUAUCCUCCCUCAAACCCCGGGUUUGGUGUUGGACCCAAGUUGUGUGAACAACUGGUCUCAAAGACAAUGACGGCGUCCGUGGGACCCUCGGUGCAACGAGCUUUUAGGAGCACGCGCCGAGUUGCAAGGACCUUCCGGGCCGGUCUCCUUUACUAUUUUACAAGGUUGACCUCGGAUCAGGUAGGAAUACCCGCUGAACUUAAGCAUAUCAAUAAGCGGAGGA
rnacentral:misc_RNA from 1 species